UGGUCACGUUUACCGGUGUGUUCUAAAUUGUCAUGGCAACGAGUUUUUUAAACUUAGAAAGUCAUAUUGUUCCAUCAAUCAUCAACAGAUGCCGCAGCUGACCAAUCCCCCCAACCCAAGGGGUAUUAGGCCCCUCCGGCAAUUCAGUUUUAGGCGCAGGGGGGUAUUGCGCGCUUGCUGGCCGUUAUUAUAGUAGGCCAUGAUACACAAAUACACAAUCAUAGAAACGGCUGCAAAACAACUUGAUCCAGAAAUAGCGCGCACCCAUCGCCAGUAUGCUCUGGUAUUUGACUAUUUGGUCUGCCAGUAGUUAAAUAUAAUACUUAAUUUGCAUUCAAGAGGUCUCGAAUUGAAUGCUCACGUAAAUUGAUAUUGUCUUAAUAAAUUGGCAUUAGUAAACGCGCCAGAUACCUGAGCAUACUGGCGAUUUGGUCUUAGCCUCUGUUUAGGCGAACAGUUUUGUAAGUAUUAUAAUUUAUUUCGAUUUAGCACCCAUCUUGCGACACUUUACAGUGAGUACCAAAUGGUACGUACAGUUGGACUGCAUCAAACUGUUACUUGAUCGAAUGGCUAGCAGCAAAAUUGAACUUUUUCACAAAAGCUACCUUUCCUAUUCCAUAGGUACUCCUUUGUUUUAAUUAAUCAAACCAUUGCUGAUAAAUAUGGCAAGCAUAAUGGUUUGGUUUGCCAACUUAUACAUGAAAAAUAAGGGUAUCUUGCAAGGUUCGGAUCUUGCAAUGCUCGGCAAAGUCUUCCUUCUUAUCAAUGGACUGAAGGCUAGACAACACCAGGAGAAGAAAACCGAUUGUUCGCUUUUGUUGGUCUAUAUCAACCAAUGGUAUGGUUAUUGAUCUUGAUUAGCGUUUUUCGUCGUAGUGAGCGUGAUGACUAUUUAGUUGGAUGUCGCAACGGAAUGUAAAGGACGCUUCAAUCCCAUCUACAAUAGAUACAGAAUGAAACAACUAACCCAAUGAAGACAAAGAAGUAAGCAAUAUUUCACAGCAAAGAAAUCUUUACUUCGUUUGGAUUUCAUAUGAUCUGUAUGGUGAAUAUCAUGACAAAUCAAGGUGAUAUUCAUGUUUUUUGCCCUUUAAUUUGUUUUUUUUUAUCGAAGCCGAAUGCCACUUGAAGCUUACUUUACCAACAAACAGUAGGGCGCAAUGGUGAAGCUUUCAGUUACGUGUCGUUUCGAACCAUGACUGAAAGUUGUGUUCGUAAGCUACGGCGUUGGUUAAUUCUUAUAUUGAAAUUGUCACUUUGUUGCUUAGGAAACCCUGAAUGAAACCAACCAUAAACUUGUUCGAAGAUUCGGCCACAAGAAUAGAAAUUUCAAUAGUUUUUAGGCAUGACACGUCGAUGGGAGAACAGAUAUUGGAUUUGACCUCUGGUGUUCUUGUAAGAUUCUUGGAGAGCAAGCCUGGUCGUAUUAUUGGCGAUCCUUUGAAGUUAAAUGCGAUGUUGGAAACCGGCCGAUAUGCGUAUCCAUUUCUUUCAACAUUUGGCUAUUCGUUCGUCGGUUCAC